UGUAAUAGCCUACCGUAGCUCGUUCUCAGAAGAAGAAGGAGCAGCUAAUAAACAUACAGCUGAGCAGCUGUACAGCACCCUGACUGCUUCACACUAAACACAAACACACACGUGGUCCAGACCAGAGACAGAGUGCAGGACUAAAGACUAAGACUUUAGCAUCAUUAGCAGCAGAUAUUAGAUAGAGAGCUCGUGCAUGAUCUGAGCUAGCCAGUUAACUAUACAUGUUUACAUGAGUUGUAGCUAGUGUUUUUUUUCUUUGUGCACAACACUGUGUGUCUCUACAGUCUAUUCAGAGGGUCCGGAUGGACUAUCACGGUAAAAAGUAUGAGCGCGGCAGUAACUGGUCCGAGCCAGAGGUGGUGGAGCUGCUCCAGGUGUGGUCGGACCAGUCGGUCCAAGCCGAGCUGGAGAGCUGUCUGCGGAACCAGCACGUCUUCAAGCGCAUCGCCGCGGCCCUGCACGGCAGAGGGGUGUACCGCACCGGAGACCAGUGCCGGGAGAAGAUCAAGAAGCUGAAGAUCGAGUACCGGCGGAUCAAAGAGAACCAGAAGCGAGCCCGCGGGUCUGGCAGAGCUUGGAAGUUCUACGAGGUGAUGGACCGGGUUCUCACCGGCCGGCCCGUGCAGCCACACAUGCUGCCCCAGCAGCAAGCCCUCCACCCUGGCUUACUGGUCUCCUGCAGCUCCGGCGCGGAGCCUUUCACCUUCACCCGCCUCCCCAACCCGGGAGAGCUGCUGGAGAUCAAGCGCGAGGAGCUGCACGCGGAGGACGAGCUGCUGAGCGCAGAGCACGCGCCGCCCGAGCUCAUCUACCACAUCGGGUCAGAGGACGAUGAGCACGAGCUCGAGAGCAAGUCUAUCGGGAUAGAAGCGGAGGAGCUGGGGACGGGAGACGUGGUCAGGGGGGAGGGACCUGCUGCUACUGCUACUUCUGCUGCUGCUGUUCUAGGGAGCAGUUCUCCUUCAGGUUUUAGUGACCACAACAUGGCUGGCUCUUCUGGUGCAGGCAUUUCCCCAGCAACAGCUUCCAUGGUGAUUGGAGAUGGAGCAAUGCAUGGUGAAAUGGAGAACCCUAAAAGUUCUGACUCAUUUCUCCAGAGGAAGCGGAGGAGGGCAGGUAGAGGGCUGGGAAGUGGGAGACUGUUGGAGAGAGCUUUGGCAGAUUUCCUGGGCUGGCAGCAGGUGAUGGAGGAGAGAUACCUGUCUUUGGAGGAGAUGAGGCUGCAGCAGGAGACGCGGGCAGAGGAGCGCAGGGGGCAGCAGGAGGAGAUACGGGCGCAGCGGGACCGGGAGCAUGAGCUGCGCCUGCUUUCUUUGUUCACGGAGGCUUUUACUGCAGCCAGAGGCAUAGCAGACACUGCCAACACCAGCGUUAGCACACUUCGUCCAGACCCUAUACCUGCUGCUCCCAAAACAGUGUCAGAACCAGCUUCUGUUUCUCCACCUCCCUCUUCUCCACCUCCAGAGCAGGAGCUUCACCCUGCCCCUUCAUCAGCCCCAUUUAAACCCACCAUGCUGAGGGGCCACCAGACCCCACAGAAUAGCCGUUACCUGUCCCGCAGAGGGAACUGUAUCCGGCAGCACCAGGGCAUCCUGCAGGAAGGAUACGCACAGUACCAAGCCAACAAGCAUGAUGAGUACAGCAACCCUAAUGGCAUAAUUAAUAUGGGAACGAGUGAGAACAAGCUGUGCUUUGACCUACUGCAGGAACGGCUGACCCGGCCAGACAUGCUCUACAUGGAGCCCUCCCUGCUGCAGUACUUCGACUGGAAGGGCCACAGCUUCCUGAGAGAGGAAGUGGCUGAGUUCCUGUCCGAACACUGCCUCUCUCCAAGCCCUCUGAAAGCAGAGAAUGUGGUUGUGAUGAACGGCUGUGGCUCUAUCUUCUGUGCCAUGGCAGCUGUGCUCUGUGAUCCUGAUGAUGCAAUCCUCAUCCCGACUCCAUUUUAUGGCGCUAUCACAGAGGAUGUUGAUUUGUACAGUGGUGUGAAACUCUACUGUGUUCCUCUUGACAGUAAGGCCAGUGAAGAUGAUGACAGGCCCUUCCAGCUCACUGCUGCAAAACUGGAGCAUGCUCUUGAGAAGGCAAAGAAAGAGGGGGUGAAUGUUAAAGCUGUCAUCUUGGUUAACCCUCACAAUCCUUUGGGAGAUGUCUACACGGCUGAAGAGAUGACCAGCUUUCUGAAGUUUGCCAAAAAGCAUGAGCUGCACGCUAUAGUGGACGAGGUCUACAUGCUGUCAGUGUUUGAUGAGGAUCAACCUUUUCACAGUGUUCUCAGUCUGGAGAGGUUACCAGAUGUUCAGAGGACUCAUGUUCUUUGGGGCCUUAGCAAGGACUUUGCGAUGGCAGGUCUGCGUGUGGGUACACUGUACUCGGAGAACAGGGAUUUGGUGCAUGCUCUGGAGCAGCUGGGCUGCUUUCAUGGAGUUUCAGGACCCACACAGCUUCAGGUUGCUCAGCUGCUGAAAGACAGAGAGUGGAUGAAUGAGACAUUUUACCCAGAAAACAUACGCAGGCUGAAGGAAGCGCAUCAGUAUGUGGCGUCUGAGCUGAAGAAGCUCGGCAUUCCUUACCUGCACAGAGGCUCAGGCUUCUAUAUCUGGGCCGACUUCAGCAAGUAUCUAAAGGAACGCACGUUUGUGGAGGAGCUCUGCAUGUGGAGGUGUUUUCUGAAGCACAGAGUGCUGCUGAGCUGUGGACAGGCCUUCAGCUGCUCCUCUCCAGGCUGGUUCCGGAUUAUCUUCUCUGACCAGCGGCACCGACUCCAGCCGGGUCUGAAGAGAAUCAGUGCGGCGUUAGAGGAGCUCCGGGGCUCCAAAGCCCUCCCCAGGUGUGAGAACUCAAAAGAGGACAAACAGAAGAGCCACAGACAAACACAGAACAGUGCAGAGAAAGAGGGCAAAACAGAGAAAGAAAGUACAGCCAACAACUCCUGUACGCCAACAAAAGGGCAUUGUGAGGGGACUGGUGCUGAGGCUGGAAGCCUAUCAUUGGCUGAUGAGGACACUGUGGUCAUCAACUGCCAAUCUUCUUCUACCUCAGAAAGCCUGGACUCGCUCAUUGGUACACUAAGGCAACAGAUCCAGUCGUCUGAUUGGCUGGAGAAAAACAGGCCGGAGCUUGGUGCUGAAGAGGACCCAACCCAGCUGGACGUUUUUAAGGACCUGUUGGACAGGGCCAGGAUGUAAUGGCACGUUAAAAAGGGCAGAAUUCUCAGUACCAAGGCCAGUGGUUUUCAGUUCUUUAUACUCUGGAGAUGCACAGUAGCGCAGCGUGAACAGGAAGUAAGAGUGAGCGUGCAGGAUUUGCUUUGAGCCCACUGGGGUGGCGGAGUGACGAGUGGGCUCCACUUUCCUGUGUAGGUACCUGUUGCCAUGACGACAGAGCAACCUCAUGUCACCGCAGCAAAGCGUUGUGGCCUCCGUCCUUAACCCUUCCACCCCUGCUCUCAUAAAGACGCAUGACAUCACUGCCUGAGUGUGAGAAUGACAGGCGCACUGUUAGAGCGUAGGUCGCGUUAUUUAUAGACAGAUAGGUUACACAGAUUAGCCUCAAUGUGUGUCCAGGGAUGACACAGAUUGUGAAAACAGACAGUGUGUCCAGAUGUUCCAUUACAGUGUGUUCUAAUUACACAGACUAUGUCAGAGAUAUAUAUAUACAGUGGUGUGCUGUAGUGGGCUAACAUCAAGUGUGUUUAAAUACAUCUUUAAAAAUCUUUAGAGAGAUUUGUUAAGGCUUAUUAUGUUUAAUAUAAGACUAUUUAUGGUUCAGUUUGCUUGGACUGAAAUAGAUUUCCUUUAUAUAGUGAUGUGUAUUGUUUGUUUUUUAGUGAUUAUAAUCAUAUUUUUAGGGGAACUAAGGUACAAUCAGGGUUAAUUAAGUGCUACACUAACAUGUCAUAGGGGAGAAGCAUCAUUCUGCAGUGUCCCUUGAGUUUUGCUGUGUCCUAUGAAAGCUUAAGAACGCUGCACUAUCCAUGUGGUGCCUCCUGCAUUGAUUUUGGAUUUAAUUUCUGUUUGUACAGACAAGACUAGCCAGAUCUUACUGGUUGCGAUCAUUACCAUCCAGUACGCUGUCCACUCUGGGUGGUAAUGCCUUCUAUGAUGCAUUACUAGUACAUAUGUUACAGUGUAACACUGUGGAUGAAGAAAUGUUAAAUGUCCACACAGUUUCAGAAAUGGAAAAUACCAUCCAUCUUUCACGCACUUCACAUCAGGCUUUGCUCAAGCUCUAAUAAUACACAUCGCCUUGCCGUGCCUCACUCACAAGAUAACACAUCACAACUUAUACAAGCCUUUCCCUAAGGUAUCGUAUUUUUCGUACUAUAAGGAACACAGAUUAUAAGGCUCACUUUCAAUAAACGUCUAUUUUCUGGUCUAUUAUUCUGCCAGGGCGAUAUUAGCGAGCGGUUCGGCCCACAUAGCUUGUUUUUUAACACAGAAAAUGCGUAGGCUACAGUCCAAAAUACUCACCUCUAAAAGAGCUAGCGCUUAGCGUGGUUAGAUGGUAAUGCUAAUAUUGCUCCAGCAGUGCUAGCCAGGGUUAGCAGCAGGCUACAGAUUGAUAAUAAUACUCACCUCUGGACGGCCAAAGCCAGCUAAAGCUAGGGCUUAGCGUGUUUACAAGCUAAAGCUAAUACUGCUGGAGACUAAACUGAAACUCCUUUAUAAAGCUGUACUUCAGCAGAGUGGCUUCACUGCUCCUUACAACCUGACUGGUAAAAUUCAUACAUAAGGUCCACCAGAUUAUAAGGCGCACUGAUGAUUUUUGGGAAAUUUAAAGGAUUUUAAUUGUGCCUUAUAGUGGAAAAAUGCGUUAACUCUUAAUGAUCAAUUUACUACUAUACUGCUAUACUGCUUUCUUAUUACUGUAUAUCUGGAAUGUCAGUGUGUAUCUUUAAAGGAAUUAAAGUACAGUAAGGGAUAAGUAAGUGCUGGUUUGCAAAUGACUUCUCAAAUUAUUAGAAUUUGGGAUGUGUAAGCUUAAGCUUAUUAUAACCACAUAUAAAACCAGAGUAAAGGUCAAACAUGGCGCACAAAAGUUAAUGUUUUUAAUGGCAGAACUGAACCAGGACCUCAGAUUAGAUUGGCUUCCAAUCGUAUGCCUUGUUCUUGAGAGAUAAAGAAGAGUUAAAGAGACAUAAAGAGAGAGCGAGAGGGAGAAGCCAGACUCCUGGAGUAUUAUGGAAUCAGCAUUAAAGCCUUAUCAAGACUGAGGGGAACAGACUGUUCUGCUUCCUGAUGCUAUAAGGGUUUUUAUUUGUUAUUCCAAUAAUGCUCUAUUUUUUUCAAUUGUACUAUUCAGUCAUACUAAAAGAGCCAUGCAAUGCAUUUAUACAGGAUUUUAAGUUGUCUUUUGAUGUGCAAAUGGUAUGUAUGUAUGUGGAGCAAAAAUGCUACAAAAUCCCUAUUCAUUUACCUCAAUAAUUUACUUAAUUUUUUUUCUUGGUGGGUGUGAAUUUUAAAAAAAGGGAAGCUCUGUUUCAUUAGCAGAGGAGCUAUGUAGCAAAGCAUAGCGAGAACAUUGUUGUACAUGUGCAGUGUAUACAGUAAUUAUUUUUUGUAAUAAUUCUAUCGGAAAGCACUGCUGUCCUAAUGAACAGUGUUUGAUGUCCAUGGUUUGUCACUUUUAUCUUAUUUUAGGGAUUAAUUAUUUAGCUAUGCCAAGAUAAACAUAGUUUUUCAUUAUAGGACACUUCUGUUAAGGACAUUUUUUGAUUUUUGGGUAUUCUUCUAUUUUGUUUUGUUUCUUCUUUUUUGUGUAUAUGUUUUUGUUUUCAUUUUAUGUUUUUGGUCUUUAUUUGAUUAUUGUAUUAAUAAAUUUGCCAAAAACAUUAACAAACUUUUGGGCUAC